rnacentral:lncRNA from 1 species
UACUCAAGUAGGACUCUGGUGUUUUUCGACCGAUGCCCUGCAAGAGUCUGAGCGAGGGUUUAUAUAGAAAGAAAGGAUAGAGCCGGGUGCUCAUUGGGCCCCAUCGCACUUAUAUCCGUUCCUUUUUAUAUUCCUUCGUCCAGCUGUUGCCAGCUUUCGAGCGGCUCCCCGAGGCUCAGCUCGUUCUUACUUAGUUACUAAGAAAGGUAAGUACAUCCAGCUGUUGCCAGCUGGUAGACACUACGAGCGGCUCCCCGAGGCUCAACUCUUUCUUACUUAGACACUAAGG